AGAGGUGUAGCUCAGUGGUAGAGCAUUUGCCUUGCAUGCACAAGGUCCUGAGUUCAAUUCCUAGUACAACCC
rnacentral:tRNA from 1 species